AUCUCAACCCAUUCUCACUCCAAAGGCGUCAAAAACCGAAGCAUGGUCAAGCGCCCCUAGCGUCACUUUUAUGACGCCAAAUGUGCCUCUCGGCGUCGAAUAUCGAAGCACUACGACCUUCAUUGCUUUCAAUGGGAAACUUUUGGCGUCAGAAUUCGACACGAGGACAUGAGAUGUUUAUCGCUAUGAAAUCACGUUCAAGAAGUCUCAUUCAGCACACAUCGCGAUACUUGCUAUCAGUUCCACAGUUUGGCUGAAAAGACGUAAAGGCAGUCAGCCCAGUGGUGUUUCUGGAGAGGGAUUCCUUCAGAAAUGGAGAAGACAGAAAGCUGCGGAGGCAGAUAUAUGCAGCAGAUUGUUUGAGGAUAACGCUGUAGCUCCAUCAUGCACAAGGACUCACCUCGUUUACUCUUUAUCACCCACACACACAGAAAUGGUCCCUGGAUCAGUGAUUAGACUUUGCAGUGGUUUGAUUUUUGCAGAAGAUGUAACUUUGUUUUAAUUAUAAGCUCAUAAUGAAUACAUUACAGAACCAGUGAUGAAAACAAUAGUUAAAAAUAGCGCUCCAUAUUAAAAAUAUAUU